CACGUGAGUAACCUGCCCUUAACUCUGGGAUAAGCCUGGGAAACUGGGUCUAAUACCGGAUAUGACUCCUCAUCGCAUGGUGGGGGGUGGAAAGCUUUAUUGUGGUUUUGGAUGGACUCGCGGCCUAUCAGCUUGUUGGUGAGGUAAUGGCUCACCAAGGCGACGACGGGUAGCCGGCCUGAGAGGGUGACCGGCCACACUGGGACUGAGACACGGCCCAGACUCCUACGGGAGGCAGCAGUGGGGAAUAUUGCACAAUGGGCGAAAGCCUGAUGCAGCGACGCCGCGUGAGGGAUGACGGCCUUCGGGUUGUAAACCUCUUUCAGUAGGGAAGAAGCGAAAGUGACGGUACCUGCAGAAGAAGCGCCGGCUAACUACGUGCCAGCAGCCGCGGUAAUACGUAGGGCGCAAGCGUUAUCCGGAAUUAUUGGGCGUAAAGAGCUCGUAGGCGGUUUGUCGCGUCUGCCGUGAAAGUCCGGGGCUCAACUCCGGAUCUGCGGUGGGUACGGGCAGACUAGAGUGAUGUAGGGGAGACUGGAAUUCCUGGUGUAGCGGUGAAAUGCGCAGAUAUCAGGAGGAACACCGAUGGCGAAGGCAGGUCUCUGGGCAUUAACUGACGCUGAGGAGCGAAAGCAUGGGGAGCGAACAGGAUUAGAUACCCUGGUAGUCCAUGCCGUAAACGUUGGGCACUAGGUGUGGGGGACAUUCCACGUUUUCCGCGCCGUAGCUAACGCAUUAAGUGCCCCGCCUGGGGAGUACGGCCGCAAGGCUAAAACUCAAAGGAAUUGACGGGGGCCCGCACAAGCGGCGGAGCAUGCGGAUUAAUUCGAUGCAACGCGAAGAACCUUACCAAGGCUUGACAUGAACCGGAAAUACCUGGAAACAGGUGCCCCGCUUGCGGUCGGUUUACAGGUGGUGCAUGGUUGUCGUCAGCUCGUGUCGUGAGAUGUUGGGUUAAGUCCCGCAACGAGCGCAACCCUCGUUCUAUGUUGCCAGCGCGUUAUGGCGGGGACUCAUAGGAGACUGCCGGGGUCAACUCGGAGGAAGGUGGGGACGACGUCAAAUCAUCAUGCCCCUUAUGUCUUGGGCUUCACGCAUGCUACAAUGGCCGGUACAAAGGGUUGCCGAUACUGUGAGGUGGAGCUAAUCCCAAAAAGCCGGUCUCAGUUCGGAUUGGGGUCUGCAACUCGACCCCAUGAAGUCGGAGUCGCUAGUAAUCGCAGAUCAGCAACGCUGCGGUGAAUACGUUCCCGGGCCUUGUACACACCGCCCGUCAAGUCACGAAAGUUGGUAACACCCGAAGCCGGUGGGCUAACCCCUUGUGGGAGGGAGCUGUCCAAGGUGGGACUGGCGAUUGG
rnacentral:rRNA from 1 species